UACGUAGGGUGCGAGCGUUGUCCGGAAUUACUGGGCGUAAAGAGCUCGUAGGUGGUUUGUCGCGUUGUUCGUGAAAACUCACAGCUUAACUGUGGGCGUGCGGGCGAUACGGGCAGACUGGAGUACUGCAGGGGAGACUGGAAUUCCUGGUGUAGCGGUGAAAUGCGCAGAUAUCAGGAGGAACACCAGUGGCGAAGGCGGGCCUCUGGG
rnacentral:rRNA from 1 species